AUGAUGAUAAGGAGUCUGGUUGAGACCUUUGACUUGGAUGUUACUCAUGGGAUUUGUUUCUCUCCAUUUCCAAGUUCAUCAAAGACAGUAUUUUAAUCUUCAUCUCAACCUGUCUACCUCUGAUCUCCGGCAUGGUUUGGAGUCCAUCACAAACCUUAAAGUCUAUGGAAAGUCUGGAAUUUUUGUUCAGAACAUCUUCUCCAGCUCUGAUAUUUAUACAUACUAAAACCCAAAAUGUCCUUGUCCAAGCCAAGAGUUAUGAACAGAUUUAGCAAACAUCUACUCCUUGCUUGUAUUCCCUCACGGUGCUGACUAUAUCUGGUUACCACGGUGACGUGGGAGCAGCCCACUCUCUUCCACUAUCUCAAAGACUGAUAAAAGCUGUGGAUCAGUUUGGGGGUCAGGUUUACUGAAGUUUGCCGAUGAACACCUUCAUGAUAAAGGAAGUGACUGGAGAAGGCUUCUUCACCGGGUGGACGAGAGGAUGGACGGAGCCAUGUACCAG